rnacentral:rRNA from 1 species
AGAACGAACGCUGGCGGCGUGGCUAAGACAUGCAAGUCGAACGAACCGGCUAAUUGAGCAAUCGAAAGGCCGGUUAGUGGCGAAAGGGUUAGUAAUGGAUAGGUAACGUACCCUGUGCUUCGGGAUAGCGUCGUUUGCCGAAAGGCAAGCUACCGAAAGGGGCAUUAAUACCGAAUAAUAUCAGGCAUCGACGGGUGCCUGCUCAAAGAUUUAUCGGCGCAGGAGCGGCCUAUCUCCUAUCAGCUAGUUGGUGAGGUAACGGCUCACCAAGGCUUUGACGGGUAGCGGGACUGAGAGGUUGGCCCGCAACAUCGGAACUGAGAUACUGUCCGGACCUCCACGGAGGGCUGCAGUAACGAAUAUUGCGCAAUGGGCGAAAGCCUGACGCAGCGACGCCGCGUGUGGGAGGAAGUCUUUCGGGAUGUAAACCACUGUCAGGGGGCAAAAAGUCCGUUUCGGCGGAUUGAUUUAACCCAGAGGAAGUCACGGCUAACUCUGUGCCAGCAGCCGCGGUAAGACAGAGGUGGCGAGCGUUGUUCGGUGUCACUGGGCUUAGAGAGUGUGUAGGCGGCAAAGUAAGCGCUUUGUGAAAGCCCCCGGCUCAACCGGGGAAUUGCUUGGCGAACUGCUUUGCUUGAGGCAAGUAGGGGUGCGAGGAACUCUUGGUGGAGCGGUGGAAUGCGUAGAUAUCAAGAGGAACGCCGGUGGUGAAGACGUCGCACUAGGCUUGUCCUGACGCUGAGACACGAAAGCGUGGGGAGCAAACGGGAUUAGAUACCCCGGUAGUCCACGCCCUAAACGAUGUCUA